AGUGAACGCUGGCGGUAGGCCUAACACAUGCAAGUCGAACGGCAGCACCGUAUUAGCUUGCUCGUACGGGUGGCGAGUGGCGGACGGCUGAGGAAUACAUCGGAAUCUACUUGUUCGCGGGUUAUGACGAAGGGUAGCUUACGCGAAUUCAUUAUACGACCUACGGGUGGAAGGAGGGGAUCUUGGGACCUGGCGCGAUUGUAGGUGCCGAUGUCGGAGUAGCUAGUUGGCGGGGUAAAGGCGCACCAGGGCGACGAUCCGUAGCUGGUCUGAGAGGAUGAGCAGCGACACUGAAACUGAGACACGGUCCAGACUCCUACGGGAGGCAGCAGUGGGGAAUAUUGAACAAUGGGCACAAGCCUGAGCCAGACAUACCGCGUGCGUGAAGAAGGCCUUCGGGUUGUAAAGCCAUUCUGUUGGGAAAGAAAAGCAGCCGGUUAAUACGCCGGUGUUCUGACGGUACCCAAAGAAUAAGCACCGGCUAACUACGUG
rnacentral:rRNA from 1 species